rnacentral:rRNA from 1 species
CCCUUAGAUGUUCUGGGCCGCACGCGCGCUACACUGACGAAGUCAGCGAGCAUGUCCUACGCCGACAGGUGCGGGGAAUCUUGUCAAACUUCGUCGUGAUGGGGAUUGAUUAUUGAAAUUCUUGAUCAUCAACGAGGAAUUCCUAGUAAGCGCAAGUCAGCAGCUUGCGUUGAUUACGUCCCUGCCCUUUGUACACACCGCCCGUCGCUACUACCGAUUGAAUGGUUUAGUGAGAUCUUCGGACUGCGCGGUCUGCAGUUUCUGCGUUCCGUGCGGAAAGUUGCGCAAACCUUAACAUUUAGAGGAAGGAGAAGUCGUAACA